UGUACCUAGGGACGCAGCAGUGAGGAAUAUUGGUCAAUGGUCGGGAGACUGAACCAGCCAAGCCGCGUGAGGGAUGAAGGUACAGAGUAUCGUAAACCUCUUUUGUCAGGGAACAAAGGCGGGGACGCGUCCCCGGAUGAGUGUACCUGAAGAAAAAGCAUCGGCUAACUCCGUGCCAGCAGCCGCGGUAAUACGGAGGAUGCGAGCGUUAUCCGGAUUUAUUGGGUUUAAAGGGUGCGCAGGCGGUCUGUUAAGUCAGCGGUCAAAGCCCGGGGCUCCACCCCGGCCCGCCGUUGCAACUGGCA
rnacentral:rRNA from 1 species